UACGAAGGGGGCUAGCGUUGCUCGGAAUCACUGGGCGUAAAGGGCGCGUAGGCGGAUCUUUAAGUCGGGGGUGAAAGCCUGAGGCUCAACCUCAGAAUUGCCUUCGAUACUGGAGAUCUUGAGACCGGAAGAGGUAAGUGGAACUGCGAGUGUAGAGGUGAAAUUCGUAGAUAUUCGCAAGAACACCAGUGGCGAAGGCGGCUUACUGGUCCGGUUCUGACGCUGAGGCGCGAAGGCCAGGGGAGCAAACGGG
rnacentral:rRNA from 1 species